GUUGCCGCUGCUCGGAGCCGCCCGCCCCGCCUGUGGGAAGCGGGACGCGGCCUUCGUUUCACGGUGCCCCGCGAUGGGCCGGAAAGAAUAAUGAGCGGUUCGCCCAAAGAAACCGCGAGCACGCCGGCUCUGCCGCUUGGGUGCCCCCGUGCCGCAGCCUCGGUGGCUCUUCACAGGGGGUCUCAGCGGCCAGGGCGGAGGGAUCGCUUCUCCGCCCGUCGGCUCUCUCCCGUCGGAAGGACUCGCACCUCCGCGAGUCUGCCCGCAGCCAGUCCUCUGUCGGAAGCCUCCCCGCCUCAGAGGCUUUCUCCCCUCGCGGGUCUCCCGUCAGCAGGCCCGGGCAGUUCUCCGUUGUGAAGACCUGAAGGAAAUUGUGACAUUACCACAUGGAGUAUCCACACGUGCAUCUGCAGAGGGUUAAAUUCAAAGGCCACGCAAAUGCCCUGGAAGGAAUGAAGAAUGGAAGAGAUACUCAAAGAAGGUCCAAACUAUUCUAAUGCACCGAUUCCCUCCAUGAUGUCAUUUGGAGAAUGACACUGACACCCCUCCACUCAUAAGGAAAGAAAAGAAACAGUAUUUGUGAUCAUGCCAAAAUGGAGCAACAGGAAAUGUGACCCCAACUCUUCAAGCAAGUCAGUUCUCUAAGUUUUGAAGCUGUAAAUAAAUUUUUCCUGAAUAUUCUGAUGUUAAUGUAACUGUAAAUUCAUUUGUUCCAUCUCUACAGUACUGUUCAUUGAAUUGUGGUCUUUGAGAGUUCAGACUAGAUAGAAACAAAU